UCCCUCUCAGGAUGACACCUGGAGAGUUUCCAGGACUCUACCAGUCUCGGCUGCGGGAGGGACAGUCUAGCAGAGGGCUACCCAUUCCAUUUCUAGCUCGGCCAGUGGCUAGUGAAUGGAAGGCCAUAUGCUACAAGU